rnacentral:rRNA from 1 species
UACGUAGGGUGCGAGCGUUAAUCGGAAUUACUGGGCGUAAAGCGUGCGCAGGCGGUUUUGUAAGCCAGAUGUGAAAUCCCCGGGCUUAACCUGGGAAUGGCAUUUGGGACUGCAAGGCUGGAGUGUGGCAGAGGAGACUGGAAUUCCUGGUGUAGCAGUGAAAUGCGUAGAUAUCAGGAGGAAUACCGAUGGCGAAGGCAGGUCUCUGGGCCACUACUGACGCUGAGAAGCGAAAGCGUGGGGAGCGAACAGG